AGGUGCACAUGGUGUUGAGAUGCCAAGGCAGUGCUUGCUGGGAGCUGCUCGGGGACUCAUACGGAGAGCUUGGUUCUGUUUCUCUAGGCCUGGCCUCUCCUCUCUCUAGAACUUCACAACUGGGUCUUAAAAUUUCUGCUCGGAAUUCCUCCUGCAUGCCUAAUGGGCAUUUUAAAAUUAAUUGGGCUGAACAGAACUCAUGAUCAACUUUGUAUCCCAACCCUCAAAGGAAAGGAACGAGUUAUGUCCUCAUGAGUCAUCCUCAUAGCCGGGCAUGGCACCAGGUUGCACUCAACUACCCAGGUCAAAAAUAAUCAGGUACGGGAGUCUUACCUUCCCCCAACUUUUCUAAUUCAAAGUGAGCCCUACCUAGUCUCCUUCCAAGGCAUAUCCAGCUCCGCCCUUUUCUUGCUCUGUCUUUUACGCUAGCUCUGUUUUUAGCUAGUGUAAGCCACCAUGUUCUCUGGCCCAGACUUCUACCAAGAACCUUCUAAUGGCUUACUCUUCCUUUUUCAAGAGCAGCCAUGCCCAGCUUGACACCCCUCACCCCAUCCCUCUCCCCCCAGAGCACUUCCAUCACACUUAGCAUGCAAAGCCAGGGGCCUUCCUAAGGUCCUUCCUGAGUGCCUUACCCACUUAGAUCUUGAACACUCACCCACCGGGCUCCUGCCCGCACCACACACUCAGCCCUUCUGCCUGUCCUAUGAACCUUGCUUUCAGGCUCCUCUGUCCUCAAAGCUGCCUUUCGUGUUAGAUACUUUCCUGAAUCCCCGAGGAAGAGCAACUUAGGGGAUGAAACGUUUAUUUGGGCUGCAAUUUGAGGGAUGGAGUCCGUUAUGGUGAGGAAGGCCUGGCACUGGCCAGGCAGCAGAGUGUGGACAGGUGGUGAGGAUGGGCUAUAGAACCUUAAGAUCUCUUCACAGUGACCUCCUUCUGUCAGCAGCUCCUAAAGGUUCCACAGCUUUCAAAAAAAGCUCAACCAACUGGGAUGUCAACCAAAUGUUCAAGUACACAGCCUGGGGGGCGGGGGGGGGGCACAUUUCACAUUCAAACCGCAAGUGCUUCCUUGAUGCAUCUAACUCCCAGAUGUCGGCUCUUCAGAGAAGCAGCUCUAGAUCUGUCUUUGUGGCUAUGGCCAGAAGAGGGCGUCAGAUCCCAUUGCAGAUGGUUGUGAGCCACCAUGUGGUUGCAGGAACUGCAACUCAGGACCUCUGGAAGAGCAGUCAGUGCUCUUAAUCACUGAGCCAUCUCUCCUGUCCCCCUUUUGUUUUUCUUUCCCCUUUCUUCCUUUCUUUUCUUUUCUUUUACUCUGAACAACACAGUAAACUACUGUUACCUCA
rnacentral:lncRNA from 1 species